AGAGUUUGAUCAUGGCUCAGAUUGAACGCUGGCGGCAGGCUUAACACAUGCAAGUCGAGCGGAAACGAUGGUAGCUUGCUACCAGGCGUCGAGCGGCGGACGGGUGAGUAAUACUUAGGAAUCUACCUAGUAGUGGGGGAUAGCACGGGGAAACUCGUAUUAAUACCGCAUACGACCUACGGGAGAAAGGGGGCAGUUUACUGCUCUCGCUAUUAGAUGAGCCUAAGUCGGAUUAGCUAGAUGGUGGGGUAAAGGCCUACCAUGGCGACGAUCUGUAGCUGGUCUGAGAGGAUGAUCAGCCACACCGGGACUGAGACACGGCCCGGACUCCUACGGGAGGCAGCAGUGGGGAAUAUUGGACAAUGGGGGAAACCCUGAUCCAGCCAUGCCGCGUGUGUGAAGAAGGCCUUUUGGUUGUAAAGCACUUUAAGCAGUGAAG
rnacentral:rRNA from 1 species